rnacentral:rRNA from 1 species
GAUGAACGCUAGCGGCAGGCCUAACACAUGCAAGUCGAGGGGCAGCAUAAAAUAAACUUGUUUAUUUGGUGGCGACCGGCGCACGGGUGCGUAACGCGUAUGCAACCUACCUUAUACUGGGGAAUAGCCCGAAGAAAUUCGGAUUAAUGCCCUAUAGUACUGAGACCUCUCCUGAGGAUUCAGUUAAAGCUUUGGCGGUAUAAGAUGGGCAUGCGUCCAAUUAGCUAGAUGGUGAGGUAACGGCUCACCAUGGCGACGAUUGGUAGGGGGCCUGAGAGGGUGGUCCCCCACACUGGUACUGAGAAACGGACCAGACUCCUAUGGGAGGCAGCAGUGAGGAAUAUUGGUCAAUGGGCGCAAGCCUGAACCAGCCAUGCCGCGUGAAGGAUGAAGGUUCUAUGGAUUGUAAACUUCUUUUAUUUGGGAAUAAACCUCUUUACGUGUAGAGAGCUGAAGGUACCAAAUGAAUAAGCACCGGCUAACUCCGUGCCAGCAGCCGCAGUAAAAC